AUGUCCCUGAAUCAAGACUGACAGUGUUCUGAAGGUGUUGAAAGCAGGAUGGUAAAGUGGUAUCUUUAUAUGGUCUAAUGGCCAUUUUAGAACUUCAGAAAUGUAGUGGUUAAUUCAUUGGAAAGAAACAACU